CAUUAUGAAAACAACAAAACCGAACACGAAAAUAAUAUAAUGGCUAUCACCGCUAUCACCGCGACACUAAAUCUCUAAACUGCAUUUUUUUACAAAAUGAUACUGUUCAUAAGGUUACAGAAGUAAUUUCAGAAUGAUAGGGCGAAGGUACAGAUGUAGUCCACUAGCUUGUUAGACUAGCGAUUACCCAUAUGGGAAAUUGUACUUUGUUGUGAUGGUAAAGUUAUGGGUGUCCUUCUAUUGGACCUUUUCAGCCAUUCCUGCAUUUUUCUUUUCAAUUUCAGUUAAAUUGGUAAGAUGGUGCAGCACAGGAGAAUGGCAAGCUUUUUGUGCUUGUGCAGGUGUAUGGGCAGGGCCCUGAGAAUUACAAGACAGAAAUGGCGACAUUAUUUUACAGUGGAACUGGACAAGUUCGUCAGAGGAUUGUACCCAAAUCAGCCCUUGGGCAUAUACGGAUUUAGGUACUUGACAGCAACCAAAGAGAGAUUCCUAUGUGAAGUAAGACCAGAAUGUGCUCGAAGCCUUAAAACACUUCAGAAGAAGAGGAACAUUUAUCUGUUGCCCAACAGAAUACUCACUAGGUUGCUGCUACUGUAAUCAACAUGUAGAAUAUGAUCGAGGUCGAAAGCAAGCAUUCAGAUAUGUUGACUUGGGUAUCUUGUCUGAAGAAGACAGUGAAGAGCUCACCAAGGAACCUCCUGCACAAGUUUAUUGCAGUGAAGUGGCCUGACCAAGGAGUCAUCCAGUGGGAAAUGGUGGAGCGUCUUAACAACCUUCAAGCAACUCAACAACUUCAACUGGCUAACAAAGUCACCAAGAGUUGCUGCAAAGCUUUGGCUUCUAGCAUAGCUUCCAGUGACUCUACUUUGACACAGAACUGAAAUGGCAAAGUUUCUGCGAUGAUACUGUCUUUUACGAUGAGGUUGUGGCAUCUUCGUAGUGGUUUCUCACAUUCGCUAUAACGCCCAUGUUAGCUGUCAGUGCCAGGAGCAGCCUCAGUGGCAACUUUAUCGUUGCUGCAAAGCUUUGGCUUCUAGCAUAGCUUCCAGUGACUCUACUUUGACACAGAACUGAAAUGGCAAAGUUUCUGCGAUGAUACUGUCUUUUACGAUGAGGUUGUGGCAUCUUCGUAGUGGUUUCUCACAUUCGCUAUAACGCCCAUGUUAGCUGUCAGUGCCAGGAGCAGCCUCAGUGGCAACUUUAUCGUUGCUGCAAAGCUUUGGCUUCUAGCAUAGCUUCCAGUGACUCUACUUUGACACAGAACUGAAAUGGCAAAGUUUCUGCGAUGAUACUGUCUUUUACGAUGAGGUUGUGGCAUCUUCGUAGUGGUUUCUCACAUUCGCUAUAACGCCCAUGUUAGCUGUCAGUGCCAGGAGCAGCCUCAGUGGCAACUUUAUCGUUGCUGCAAAGCUUUGGCUUCUAGCAUAGCUUCCAGUGACUCUACUUUGACACAGAACUGAAAUGGCAAAGUUUCUGCGAUGAUACUGUCUUUUACGAUGAGGUUGUGGCAUCUUCGUAGUGGUUUCUCACAUUCGCUAUAACGCCCAUGUUAGCUGUCAGUGCCAGGAGCAGCCUCAGUGGCAACUUUAUCGUUGCUGCAAAGCUUUGGCUUCUAGCAUAGCUUCCAGUGACUCUACUUUGACACAGAACUGAAAUGGCAAAGUUUCUGCGAUGAUACUGUCUUUUACGAUGAGGUUGUGGCAUCUUCGUAGUGGUUUCUCACAUUCGCUAUAACGCCCAUGUUAGCUGUCAGUGCCAGGAGCAGCCUCAGUGGCAACUUUAUCGUUGCUGCAAAGCUUUGGCUUCUAGCAUAGCUUCCAGUGACUCUACUUUGACACAGAACUGAAAUGGCAAAGUUUCUGCGAUGAUACUGUCUUUUACGAUGAGGUUGUGGCAUCUUCGUAGUGGUUUCUCACAUUCGCUAUAACGCCCAUGUUAGCUGUCAGUGCCAGGAGCAGCCUCAGUGGCAACUUUAUCGUUGCUGCAAAGCUUUGGCUUCCAGCAUAGCUUCCAGUGACUCUACUUUGACACAGAACUGAAAUGGCAAAGUUUCUGCGAUGAUACUGUCUUUUACGAUGAGGUUGUGGCAUCUUCGUAGUGGUUUCUCACAUUCGCUAUAACGCCCAUGUUAGCUGUCAGUGCCAGGAGCAGCCUCAGUGGCAACUUUGAAGUACUGUGCAUCGUCUUUUUAUUCGUGAAGAGUCGCUGGGAGACACAUUGGCGUGUGCAUCGGAACGGGAACCUGAACAGUGAUGUUUAUAUCCAGUAUCUGUAUAUUAUGGAAUUAUGUACCGUACUCAAAUUAACAUUACAAAUUACUUAAUGAUGCUUGCACAAGUUCUACUUUGCACCGUACAGCUAUAAAGGCCUUCAGAUAGCUUCCGGGCCUGAAUUUUAUGGUUAGGCUUGGAUAACCCUGCUUUCAUUCAAUAGGAUAUCCGUUUUCAGUCAAUGUACAUUAAACCAUGCAGAUUUUGUUGGCAGCAAAAAAAAUCCAGCUACACUUAAGAGACUGAACUCUGAAAAUAUUGGGAAUUAUUUGGUCGAGAAUUAUUCAAUCUAAGUUAUCCUUUUUUCUGGAAGCAUAAACAUCUUAAAAACUUUACAUUACUUAAUGUGCACAAGCAUGCCCGCUUUUCCAACAAUUUUUAUUUUUUUUAAAUUCUUGUUAUUAUUUGUGUGAAUGGUAAACCCAUUCCAGUUUUAUAGUAAGCUUGAUGUUAUUUGAUUGCUUUUUUGUACAACUUAUGUAACUGAUUGAAUUUCACAUUCUCAAUUGUCCCCUAAAAAAUGUUGAAUCCAUCUUUGAAUUAUUUAUUAAAUGCCUGACUUAUUUGGCUAACAAAUAGA
rnacentral:lncRNA from 1 species